rnacentral:rRNA from 1 species
CCUACGGGUGGCAGCAGGGAGGAAUAUUGGUCAAUGGGCGAGAGCCGGAACCAGCAAAGUCGCGGGAAGGAUGACGGCCCUACGGGUGGUAAACUUCUUUUGUCAGGGAGCAACUGGGUCCACGCGUGGGCUUAUCGAGAGUACCUGAAGAAAAAGCAUCGGCUAACUCCGUGCCAGCAGCCGCGGUAAUACGGAGGAUGCGAGCGUUAUCCGGAUUUAGUGGGUUUAAAGGGUGCGUAGGCGGAAUAUCAAGUCAGCGGUAAAACUUCGGGGCUCAACCCCGUCGUGCCGUUGAAACUGGUGUUCUUGAGUGGGCGAGAAGUAUGCGGAAUGCGUGGUGUAGCGGUGAAAUGCAUAGAUAUCACGCAGAACUCCGAUUGCGAAGGCAGCAUACCGGCGCCCAACUGACGCUGAGGCACGAAAGCGUGGGUAUCGAACAGGAUUAGAUACCCUUGUAGUC